rnacentral:misc_RNA from 1 species
GUUCGCCUCCUACGCUUGUCUUCGUGUCAAAUUAGCCGGAGAUUUGACGCCACCGUCGUCUUCUUCAAAUGAGACUAGUAAUAAUAAUUACAACAUCUAUGGCUACUUCUUCGGAUUGGAUCGGCCGGUUAUAGAGUCGUUCCCCAAAGUAGUGUUGGGUGAAAGUAAGAGAUUGCCUAGUUCAAUUAGUGAUACGAAUACAUGCGCAAUAUGCUUGUGUGAAUAUUGUGU